GACGAACGCUGGCGGCGUGCUUAACACAUGCAAGUCGAACGGAAAGGCCCUGCUUUUGUGGGGUGCUCGAGUGGCGAACGGGUGAGUAACACGUGAGUAACCUGCCCUUGACUUUGGGAUAACUUCAGGAAACUGGGGCUAAUACCGGAUAGGAGCUCCUGCUGCAUGGUGGGGGUUGGAAAGUUUCGGCGGUUUUGGAUGGACUCGCGGCUUAUCAGCUUGUUGGUGGGGUAGUGGCUUACCAAGGCUUUGACGGGUAGCCGGCCUGAGAGGGUGACCGGCAAAAUGGGGCUGAGAUACGGGCCCGGCUCCUGAGGGGGGGCAGAGGUGGGAAAAAUGCCCCAAGGGCGGAAAGCCUAAGGCAGAACGGCGCGUGGGGGGAGGAGGCCCUCGGGUUUUUAAACCGUUUUGGCUGUGACGGAGGGGGGAUGGCCGUAAUGGGUAAAGAAGCACCGGCUAACUACGUG
rnacentral:rRNA from 1 species